rnacentral:rRNA from 1 species
UAGGGAAUUUUCGCAAUGGGCGCAAGCCUGAACGAGCAAUGCCGCGUGAGUGAGGAAGGUCUUCGGACUGUAAAGCUCUGUUGCCGGGGAAAAAGGGGAAAUGCAGGAAAUGGCAUUUCAUGGAUGGUACCCGGCCAGAAAGCCACGGCUAACUACGUGCC